ACAACCCUCAAGCCUAGCUUGGUCUUGGAGUCGCUGUAUCGCGGCCCCUAAAAUCAGUGGCGGUACCUGUAGGUUCUACGCGUAGUAAUUCUUCUCGCUCUGGAUCCCUACAAGUGCUUGCCAACAACCCCAAUUUUUUCA
rnacentral:misc_RNA from 1 species